rnacentral:rRNA from 1 species
UAUGAACGCUAGCUACAGGCUUAACACAUGCAAGUCGAGGGGCAGCAUGAACAUAGCUUGCUAUGUUUGAUGGCGACCGGCGCACGGGUACGUAACACGUAUCCAAUCUGCCCGUUACUCGGGGAUAGCCUUCUGAGAGGAAGAUUAAUACCCGAUGGCAUGCAUCUGCGGCAUCGCAGUUGCAUUAAAGAUUUAUCGGUAACGGAUGAGGAUGCGUACGAUUAGCUAGUUGGCGGGGUAACGGCCCACCAAGGCUACGAUCGUUAGGGGUUCUGAGAGGAAGGUCCCCCACACUGGAACUGAGACACGGUCCAG